CUCCCUGCAUGCACGUGGCAGGAAGAAAAAGGCACCAUUAGGGCCUAGGAAACAGCGGGGGGCUGAAGACAUGGAAAACUGCUGCUCAGAGCGCUGAGGAUCCAGAGGAUGAGGCAGAAGCAGGGCAGGGACCGGGUGAGGAAAGUGAGGCACUCGCCUCUAGCGUGAACGUUCGGCUGGCGCCAAAAAACAGUAACAUCAAGGUUCUGCUCCUCUCUGUGAAGCUGGGCCUUUUAGACCAGUGGUUCUCAAAUCUGGAAGAUUCCAUCUCCUCCAGGGGACAUACAGCAAUGUCCAGAGAGAUGCUUUCAGUCAUCACACCUGGUCAGGAGGUUUGCUACUGGCAUCUAGUGGGUGGAGGCCAGGGCUGCUGCUCAGCACCCUGCAGUGCACAUAAUGGCCCUGCUACAGAGAGUACAGUGGCCCCAAAUGUCAAUAGUGCCUAGUCUGAGACACUGCUUUAAACCAUGAAGAUUGUCGGGCUGGGGCAACCUCUCUAAAGAAAUACCCAGAGAAGGAGGCCGAGGAGGCUCUGAAGAGGAGGCCAUGGCCCCACUGCAGGGCACCAAAGGCUCAGUGCCAGGGCCUCUGCUUUCCUUCUGCCAUGCCUGUGGGCUCUGCUGCCCACUCACUGACAACCCAACUGCUUGCCUCUGCUCUCCUGGUCUGCCCUCAGCUGGAAGAUCAAGAAGUGAGAAGACAGGCAGUGCCACCAACAGCAGUAGAAACCAGUGGGAGGCUUGCCAGGUAAACUGAGGGGGAAGAAGAGGCUCCACGCUGCCCUUGCUCCGGGUUGGGCCUUGUGACGCCCAUACCUGCAUCCACAUCGUUGGGCCACCCGCUGGACUGGCUGCUGCCAGCUGCUGGGGAGCGGCCUGUGCCAGGAUAGAAGACGUCGUCGACAGGGCUUUCCAUCUCGCUGUCAUCGAUGGACUUGGGGCGCUUGGUGGUGCUGGGGAAGGAGGAAAGGGAUCAGGCGGGCCAAAGGUGAGCCAAGGUAGUGGUAUUCAGGCUGAGGAAGCCUGCACUGAUGGCCCUCUGUGUGGGGAGCGGGUACUUCGGGGCACUCGCCGUGUACCCAUCCCCACCCCUUGAGAUCAGACCUAGAGCCCCUGGGGCCAGCCCACCCACUCCUCCUCCUCGAGCCUCUUCUCAGUCCAUGACACCAUCCAUCAUCUACAGAGCUGCUCAAGUUAAAGAAGUGGGCAAAACCCUCAACUGCUUCCUCAGCCCCACUCCCAUUUCCCAACAGCUCCCACAGGCAGGGCGAGGCAAGUGAGGCACUGGCCAGGGACCAAAAUGCCAGGGGGUGACACAAAACUCAGUCAUCAAGAUAUUAUUUUAGUUUGUAUUAAGAAAUGAUUAAAAUGAAAAUUUCAUAACA